CCUACGGGUGGCAGCAGUGAGGAAUAUUGGUCAAUGGGCUUACGCCUGAACCAGCCAAGUCGCGUGAGGGAAGACUGCCCUAUGGGUUGUAAACCUCUUUUGUCAGGGAGCAACGCCGGCUACGUGUAGCCGGACUGAGAGUACCUGACGACAAAGCAUCGGCUAACUCCGUUCCAGCAGCCGCGGUAAUACGGAGGAUGCGAGCGUUAUCCGGAUUUAUUGGGUUUAAAGGGUGCGUAGGCGGAAUGCCAAGUCAGCGGUAAAAUCGCGGGGCUCAACCUCGCUCCGCCGUUGAAACUGGCGGUCUUGAGUGGGCGAGAAGUAGGCGGAAGGCGUGGUGUAGCGGUGAAAUGCAUAGAGAUCACGCAGAACUCCGAUUGCGAAGGCAGCAUACCGGCGCCCAACUGACGCUGAAGCACGAAAGCGUGGGUAUCGAACAGGAUUAGAUACCCCUGUAGUC
rnacentral:rRNA from 1 species